rnacentral:rRNA from 1 species
GAUGAACGCUAGCUACAGGCUUAACACAUGCAAGUCGAGGGGCAGCAGGGCGAUAGCUUGCUAUUGUUGCUGGCGACCGGCGCACGGGUGAGUAACGCGUAUCCAACCUUCCCCUUAGUAGAGGAUAGCCCGGCGAAAGUCGGAUUAAUACUCUAUGUUCUCCUUUGCAGGCAUCUAACGAGGAGCAAAGAUUUAUCGCUAAGGGAUGGGGAUGCGUCUGAUUAGCUUGUUGGCGGGGUAACGGCCCACCAAGGCGACGAUCAGUAGGGGUUCUGAGAGGUUGAUCGGCCACAAUGGAACUGAGACACGGUCCAUACUCC